rnacentral:rRNA from 1 species
GACGAACGCUGGCGGCGUGCUUAACACAUGCAAGUCGAACGGAAAGGCCCUGCUUUUGUGGGGUGCUCGAGUGGCGAACGGGUGAGUAACACGUGAGUAACCUGCCCUUGACUUUGGGAUAACUUCAGGAAACUGGGGCUAAUACCGGAUAGGAGCUCCUGCUGCAUGGUGGGGGUUGGAAAGUUUCGGCGGUUGGGGAUGGACUCGCGGCUUAUCAGCUUGUUGGUGGGGUAGUGGCUUACCAAGGCUUUGACGGGUAGCCGGCCUGAGAGGGUGACCGGGCACAAGGGGGAUGGAGACCGGCCCGGGCCCCCGCGGGGGGGAAGCGGGGGGGAAUAUGGCAAAAGGGGGGGAGGCUGGAGGCAGCCCCCCGGGGGGGGGGGGGCGGGCUUUGGGUUUGUAAACCUUUUCCCCCGGUGAAGAGGGGGGGGGGGGGGAAAGGGAUAAAAAACACCGGCUAAACCCGGCC